rnacentral:tRNA from 1 species
CGGAAUAGCUCAGGGGCAGAGCACUUCACUCGUAAUGAAGGGGUCGCAGGUUCAAAUCCCGUUUCCG